rnacentral:rRNA from 1 species
GAGUUUGAUCCUGGCUCAGGAUGAACGCUGGCGGCGUGCUUAACACAUGCAAGUCGAACGGAAACAGAAGGAAACCUAGUGAAUUCUGUUUAGUGGCGGACGGGUGAGUAACGCGUGGGGAACCUGCCGUAUACAGGGGGAUAACACAUAGAAAUAGGUGCUAAUACCGCAUAAGCGCACGCCUUCGCAUGAAGGAGUGUGAAAGGCGAAAGCCGGUAUACGAUGGCCCCGCGUCUGAUUAGCCAGUUGGCAGGGCAGCGGCCUACCAAAGCGACGAUCAGUAGCCGGCCUGAGAGGGCGGACGGCCACAUUGGGACUGAGACACGGCCCAGACUCCUGCGGGAGGCAGCAGUGGGGAAUAUUGCACAAUGGGGGGAACCCUGAUGCAGCGACGCCGCGUGAGUGAAGAAGUAUUUCGGUAUGUAAAGCUCUAUCAGCAGGGAAGAAAAUGACGGUACCUGAAUAAGAAGCCCCGGCUAACUACGUG